ensembl:ncRNA W06H8.11 ncRNA
GGAGCCACCAAAAGAGCAAGGGAUUUGAUGAGACAGAGACAAGAAGAGAGCGUUGUCUAAGGUGAUUGAUGAAGGGGUAAGGAGUGAUGAUGGGAUGAGCGGGGGAUCCCGGGGAGCCGAAGGACUUUGCCGCAACUCGGGUCAUCCCCUCCCACGAGUUUUAAAA